UACGGAGGAUGCGAGCGUUAUCCGGAUUCAUUGGGUUUAAAGGGUGCGUAGGCGGUUUUUUAAGUCAGUGGUGAAAUCCUGCGGCUCAACCGUAGAACUGCCAUUGAUACUGAGAAACUUGAAUAUAGUUGAGGUAGGCGGAAUGUGUAGUGUAGCGGUGAAAUGCUUAGAUAUUACACAGAACACCGAUUGCGAAGGCAGCUUGCUAAGCUAUGAUUGACGCUGAUGCACGAAAGCGUGGGGAUCAAAC
rnacentral:rRNA from 1 species